rnacentral:lncRNA from 1 species
UUCAUGAGAGAGAGGAGUGUGGUGCGCUAGGGAAGAAAGGGAGGGGCUAUGAUUUCCAGAGGCGCCGAGGGAUUUAUCCACGCCACGGAGGGGCGGAUGCGUGCCACGGCGAUGGUGGUGGCUGCUGGCAGCCAUCGGCGGUGGCCACGCUCUCUCACUGAGCAGGAGGAGGGAGAUGGGGAUAGAUGGGUUGGACGUGUGGCUGGGCCAGUGCUAUGGACUUAGGCCCAGUCCACAGUGCCCCGUUUUCUUUUCCUUUUAUUUUUAUAAAUUAGCUUUUCUUUUUUAUUUGUCUUCUAUUUUUAUUUAGUUUUGUAACAACUCGUACAAAUGCCCGUGUGUUGCAUCGGGCAAAAAA